rnacentral:rRNA from 1 species
CAGCUUGUUGGUGGGGUAACGGCCUACCAAGGCGACGACGGGUAGCCGGCCUGAGAGGGUGAUCGACCACACUGGGACUGAGACACGGCCCAGACUCAUACGGGAGGCAGCAGUGGGGAAUAUUGCACAAUGGGCGGAAGCCUGAUGCAGCGACCCCGCGUGAGGGAUGACGGCCUUCGGGUUGUAAACCUCUUUCGACAGGGACGAAGGGAAAGUGACGGUACCUGUAGAAGAAGCACCGGCUAACUACGUGCCAGCAGCCGCGGUAAUACGUAGGGUGCGAGCGUUGUCCGGAAUUACUGGGCGUAAAGAGCUUGUAGGCGGUCUGUCGCGUCGAUUGUGAAAACUCACGGCUCAACCGUGGGCUUGCAGUCGAUACGGGCAGACUAGAGUACUGCAGGGGAGACUGGAAUUCCUGGUGUAGCGGUGAAAUGCGCAGAUAUUCAGGAGGAACACCGGUGGCGAA